rnacentral:rRNA from 1 species
GAUGAACGCUGGCGGCGUGCUUAACACAUGCAAGUCGAACGGAAAGGCCCAAGCUUGCUUGGGUACUCGAGUGGCGAACGGGUGAGUAACACGUGGGUGAUCUGCCCUGCACCUCGGGAUAAGCCUGGGAAACUGGGUCUAAUACCGGAUAGGACGAUGGUUUGGAUGCCAUUGUGGAAAGUUUUUUCGGUGUGGGAUGAGCUCGCGGCCUAUCAGCCUGUUGGUGGGGUAAUGGCCUACCAAGGCGUCGACGGGUAGCCGGCCUGAGAGGGUGUACGGCCACAUUGGGACUGAGAUACGGCCCAGACUCCUACGGGAGGCAGCAGUGGGGAAUAUUGCACAAUGGGCGCAAGCCUGAUGCAGCGACGCCGCGUGGGGGAUGACGGCCUUCGGGUUGUAAACUCCUUUCGCUAGGGACGAAGCGUUUUUGUGACGGUACCUGGAGAAGAAGCACCGGCUAACUACGUG